rnacentral:rRNA from 1 species
AUUGAACGCUGGCGGCAGGCUUAACACAUGCAAGUCGCACGAGUGGCGGACGGGUGAGUAAUGCUUGGGAAUCUAGCUUAUGGAGGGGGAUAAAUACGGGAAACUGUAGCUAAUACCACGUACCAUAGGAUGAGCCCAAGUGGGAUUAGGUAGUUGGUGAGGGAAAGGCUCACCAAGCAGACGAUCUCUAGCUGGUCUGAGAGGAUGACAAUACACACUGGGACGGAGACACGGCCCAGACUCCUACGGGAGUCCGCAGUGGGGAAUAUUGCGCAAUGGGGGCAACCUGACGCAGCCAUGCCGCGUGAAUGAAGAAGGCCUUCGGGUUGUAAAGUUCUUUCGGUAGCGAGGCGUUAACUACAGAAGAAGCACCGGCUAACUCCGUGCCAGCCGCCGCGGUAAUAC